GUGAGGAAUAUUGGUCAAUGGGCGAAAGCCUGAACCAGCAAUGUCGCGUGGGUGAUGAAGGCCUUUGGGUUGUAAAGCUCUGUCGGUGAGGAAGAAGAGUGCUUGAUAGCACUUUGACGGUACUCACAAAGGAAGCACCGGCUAACUCUGUGCCAGCAGCCGCGGUAAUACAGAGGGUGCAAGCGUUGUUCGGAAUAGCUGGGCGUAAAGAGCAUGUAGGCGGAAUUAUAAGUCAAACGUGAAAGCCCUUAGCUCAACUAGGGAAUUGCAUUUGAUACUGUUUUUCUAGAGUGCCGGAGGGGGUGGCGGAAUUUCCGGUGUAGAGGUAAAAUUCGUAGAUAUCGGAAAGAACACCUGUGGCGAAGGCGGCCACCUGGAAGGUUACAGACGCUGAGAUGCGAAAGCAUGGGUAGCAAACAGG
rnacentral:rRNA from 1 species